CUUGAAUAGAGAAAAAAGAAAAGACUCAAGGGGAUAAAAAGAUGAAAAAAAUCUUGAAUUAAUUCAAAAGAGAUGGGGAACAAUACACCAUUAACUAUAUUAUCAGACAUCUUCAGACCUGGGUGGAGAUAGGAAAACAAAGAGACCAUCGUAUCAGUGUUUACGUGCAGGUGGGUGCAGGGAGACCUAUUAUCAUCGUGGAAGAGUUACCUCAAAGAAGGCCUGGUAGGGAAGAUGAUCAAUUACAUUCUGUCUAAUUUGUUCCAUCAGUCUAACUAGAACAUGUUUGUCUUUGCUGACAGCAGUUGGGAUACUGAUUUGUAAAAUACAAUCAUAUACUAAGUAGAAGACUAAAAGGAGUCUGAUAAACAGAAAAUCAUUAUAGCAACCAGUGGAAAAGAAAAAGAAAUUUUACAUGCAGACAGACAAAGUAAUAUAUUUAAAGUACCAAACAAAACAAACCAAAAACCAACAACUUCUCAAUCUAAAAUUAUAUACAAAACAACUCUCUAUCAAAGGGAACAGUGAAUAACAGCAUUUCCAAAUACACAAAAGCUGAAAGAAUCAAU
rnacentral:lncRNA from 1 species